rnacentral:lncRNA from 1 species
UCAUGUCUACCGCCUUCCUGCCCUGUAACCCAGACAGUAAGAACAUACAUUUCUCCUGUACAAUUUUUUUUGAAACAAGGCAACAUUUUUGCUUUUUAUAUUGAUAUAGUAGGAGCAAAGGACAACCCGGCCGAAGCCAAAAAUUUGUUGAGUAAAUAGGCAAUUUCUCGAUUAAAUUAAUCCACGAGUAAAUCACUAGCAUGGCAUUGACUAAGUUGAUGACGUACUGACUCUGGUCUAAACAUGCACGUACUAAGCAAACAGUAGACAAAUCUACACAUACUGCUAGUAAUGCUAAUACGAAAAUAAUCAGGAGCGGGAUAAACGCGUUAUACCCUCCAGUAGGCCAUGCAGACGCCGCGGCGGUGGUGGCGGCAGCAGCAUCCUCGGCGGCCUUCUUGUCGGCUUCAGCUUUCUCGGCGGCGGCACGGUCGGCGGUGGUGGACAUGGUGAUGAUGAAGGCGACACGGACGUAGAGGAAGUAGACGAUCGGAAGCGAGCAGUCGCGUAAUCGCUGCCCAAAAACCUAUUCGCCCCUCACCCCGUACAGGAACCAUAUGGCGUGGUUUCGGAGACCUGCUCUCUCGUCGACCGUGUACGCGGCGGACGGGAUGGAGUCACCGGCGGCAGCAGCAGAACGACGGUGGGCGUGCGCGUAGGUGUGAGCUCGGCUCGGCUCAAUCCCGCAACCCGCGACGCGUCAUGACGAGACGUGGCGUGGCGAGGCGGGCGGCGGAGGAGGAGUGCGCGAGGGCCUCUUCUUUUCUCAAGCUACAAUAGCAUGUAGAAGAGAAACCCUUAUAAACCACUCCAACUCUCCUUCCACUUCCGGGGUGGGACUAAACUUCCCACCACACCUAGUGCCAUAUAACCCACAUGGGCCCUUAGAGAUUUUUUAGAAAUUGCUAUAUGGGCCUAGAGCCCAUCUCAAAUUUCAGCAAUCCCCCACCAGAUCUCGAGGGCCCAUUGUGUCCUCUGUUCCAAUUGCUGUUUCGAUAUACCAGUGUUUCAAUGAAGACCUAUUAAGGUUGAACUUCACCUAGAGCAAGUAGCUACACUCCUUCACAACUGAACAAUGGACUAUGCCUUGAAUUGUCAGUUUGGCGCAAAGAAGUUUCACUACAUGUCUUACUAGUACUAGGCUGCCGAAGGCUGACCCCUCGGGUGGAGCAUAUAAAUCACACUCCUGGCCUAUUCAUGAGCUUACUAGAGAUCACCCCAAUCUCAUAGACUGUGACCAGCAGUCGGGCUCAUAUACGUGUGUUUCUCCAAAGAUCGCUCUGUAGGAUAGCAUCUUGCUUUUAUAAGCUUCAGAACACAUUAAGACAGUAGUCAUCCUACCAUACAGUAUCGAGAGUAUUGCAUCUCCAACGGAGUGGGUUAGUAUAUUUACGCUCCUCAGUUCACCACUGGCUUGUUUUCCCAGGUCCUACUUCACGGGAUCUCCGAUCACAUUGGUUGGGUUACCACCAUGGCAACUCAUGUGGGUCUCAUACCCAUCUCCCUCGAUGCAUUAUCUAUCACAACACGUGAUAGCCCUUUUGUAAAGGGAUCUGCCAGAUUCUGAGCCGUAUGGACAUAGUCCAACGCUAUCACUCCGGAGUUUCUUAAUUUUUUGACAGCUUUUAAUCUUAUUCUUAUGUGUUUGGUGGACUUCUUGUUGUCCUUUGAACUCUUCACCUUGGUGAUGACAGUCUGAUUGUCACAGUUCAUAAGGAUAGGCGGAACCGGUUUAUCAACCAAUGCCAAGUCCAUCAAAAGAUCUCGAAGCCAUCUCGCUUCAACACCCGAUGUGUCUAAUGCUAUUAACUCUGCUUCCAUUGUCGAUCUCGUUAAGAUCGUUUGCUUGCAAGACUUCCAGGAAACAGCGCCACCUCCAAGAGUAAACAUAUACCCAGUUGUGGCCUUCACCUCAUCAGCAUCAGAGAUCCAAUUCGCAUCACUAUACCCUUCAAGUACCGACGGGUAUCCGGUAUAGUGAAGUCCAUAGUUCGUAGUACCUUUCAGAUAGCGCAUAACUCUCUCAACAGCAUGCCAAUGUACAUCACCCGGUUUAGAAACAAACCGGCUCAGUUUGCUCACAGCAAACACGAUGUCAGGCCUCGUUGCGCUCGCUAGGUACAUCACUGAACCAAUGAUUUGAGAGUAUCUCAAUUGAUCCUUAGCCAUGCCUUUGGACUUUCGAAUCAACACGCUAGGAUCAUAUGGUGUUUGACAUGGUGUGCAGUCCGAAUAUCCAAAACGACUCAACACCUUCUCAACAUAGUGGGAUUGCAGAAGUGUGAUCCCACCUUCAUUAUCUCUCAGUAGAUUGAUGUUCAAGAUAACAUCAGUCACACCAAGGUCUUUCAUCUCAAAGUUCUGAGAUAGAAACGAUUUGACCUCCUCAAUGACUUUGAGGUUUGUUCCAAAUAUCAGUAUGUCAUCAACAUACAGGCACAGUAUAACUCCUUCGCCCCCACCAUGGAGAUAGUAUACACAUUUGUCAGCUUCAUUAACAACGAAGCCAACAGAUGUCAGAGUUGUAUUAAACUUAUUAUGCCAUUUCUUAGGUGCUUGCUUCAGGCCAUAUAAAGAUUUUAUCAACCUACACACCUUUCUUUCCUGACCAUCUAUCACAAAGCCAUCAGGCUGUUGCAUGUAGAUUUCCUCCUUUAGCUCUCCAUUUAGAAAAGCCAUCUUAACAUCCAUCUGAUGGACGAGAAGACCAUGUGAGGCCGCCAAUGAGAGUAAUACUCGAAUGGUGGUCAGUCUAACCACAGGUGAAUAAGUAUCAAAGAAAUCUUCCUCUUCUUGCUGGUCAUAGCCCUUGGCCACAAGCCUAGCCUUGUACUUUUCAAUCGUACCAUCGGGCGUAAGCUUCUUUUUAAACACCCACUUACAUCCCAGUGGUUUGCAACCAUAGGGACUGUCAGUGAUCUCCCAUGUCUCGUUAGCCAUGAUGGAAUCCAUCUCGCUACGGACCGCUUCCUUCCAGUAGUCAGCUUCUAGAAAGGCAUACGCUUCUGAGAUAGAAGUGGGAGUAUCAUCCACGAGGUACACGAAGAAAUCAUCACCAAAGGUCUUUGUAGUCCUUUCUCUCUUGCCCCUACCAAGGGUUUCCUCGUCAUCCUCCUCAGGAUUUUCAUCAUGUGUUUGUUCAUAAUAUUCCAUAGGGAUGGCAGGUUCAGGAGUCUCCUUAGAUUCCUGUCUAGAAGUGUUUUGCAUAUCUCUCAUAGGAAAAAUAUCCUCAAAAAAUGUAGCAUCCUUAGACUCCAUAAUUGUACCGACCUUCUGGUCAGGUACCUCAGAUUUCACUACUAGAAAUCUAUAGCCAACGCUAUUCUUAACGUAGCCCAAAUUAACACAAUCCACAGUCUUUGGUCCAAGCUUACGCUUUUUGGGGAUCAGCACAUUGACUUUCGCCAAACAGUCCCAAGUCCGCAAGUACGAGAGUGUUGUCCUUCUCUUUGCCCAUUUCUCAUAGGGAGUGAUCUCAUUAUCCUUUGUUGGAACUUUAUUCAGGACAUGACAUGCCGUCAAUAUAGCCUCCCCCACCAUGCCUUGGAUAAACCCGAUGUAUCUAACAUCGCGUUAACCAAAUCAGUAGAGUACGGUUUUUCCGCUCGGCAACCCCGUUUGACUGGGGUGAAUAGGGUGUUGGAAAUAUGCCCUAGAGGCAAUAAUAAAAGUGUUAUUAUUAUAUUUCCUUGUUCAUGAUAAUUGUCUUUUAUUCAUGCUAUAACUGUAUUAUCCGGAAAUCGUAAUACACGUGUGAAUACAUAGACCACAAUAUGUCCCUAGUAAGCCUCUAGUUGACUAGCUCGUUGAUCAAUAGAUGGUCACGGUUUCCUGGCUAUGGACAUUGGAUGUCGUUGAUAACGGGAUCACAUCAUUAGGAGAAUGAUGUGAUGGACAAGACCCAAUCCUAAGACUAGCUCAAAGAUCGUGUAGUUCGUUUGCUAGAGCUUUGCCAAUGUCAAGUAUCUCUUCCUUUGACCAUGAGAUCGUGUAACUCCUGGAUACCGUAGGAGUGCUUUGGGUGUAUCAAACGUCACAACGUAACUGGGUGACUAUAAAGGUGCACUACAGGUAUCUCCGAAAGUAUCUAUUGUUUUAUGCGGAUCGAGACUGGAAUUUGUCACUCCGUGUAAACGGAGAGGUAUCUCUAGGCCCACUCGGUAGGACAUCAUCAUUUGCGCAAAUGUGACCAAGGAGUUGAUCACGGGAUGAUGUGUUACGGAACGAGUAAAGAGACUUGCCGGUAACGAGAUUGAACAAGGUAUCGGUAUACCGACGAUCGAAUCUCGGGCAAGUAACAUACCGAUAGACAAAGGGAAUUGAAUACGGGAUCGAUUGAGUCCUUGACAUCGUGGUUCACCUGAUGAGAUCAUCGUGGAACAUGUGGGAGCCAUCAUGGGUAUCCAGAUCCCGCUGUUGGUUAUUGACCGGAGAACGUCUCGGUCAUGUCUGCAUGUCUCCCGAACCCGUAGGGUCUACACACUUAAGGUUCGAUGACGCUAGGGUUAUAAAGGAAGCUUGUAUGUGGUUACCGAAUGUUGUUCGGAGUCCCGGAUGAGAUCCCGGACGUCACGAGGAGUUCUGGAAUGGUCCGGAGGUAAAGAUUUAUAUAUAGGAAGUCCUGUUUCGGCCAUCGGGACAAGUUUCGGGGUCAUCGGUAUUGUACCGGGACCACCGGAAGGGUCCCGGGGGCCCACCGGGUGGGGCUACCUGCCCCGGGGGGCCACAUGGGCUGUAGGGGGUGCGCCUUGGCCUACAUGGGCCAAGGGCACCAGCCCCAAGAGGCCCAUGCGCCAAGAGAAGAGAAAAAGGGAAGAGUCCUAAAGGGGGAAGGCACCUCCGAGGUGCCUUGGGGAGGAUGGACUCCUCCCCAUCCUUAGCCGCACCCCUUCCUUGGAGGAGGGGGCAAGGCUGCGCCCUUCCCCUCUCCCUUGGCCCUAUAUAUAGUGGGGAAAAGGAGGAGCAAUCAUACCUAAGGCCUUUGGUUGCCUCCCUCUCCCUCCCGUGACACAUCUCCUCUCCCGUAGGUGCUCGGCGAAGCCCUGCAGGAUUGCCACACUCCUCCACCACCACCACGCCGUUGUGCUGCUGUUGGAUGGAGUCUUCCUCAACCUCUCCCUCUCCCCUUGCUGGAUCAAGGCGUGGGAGACGUCACCGGGCUGUACGUGUGUUGAACGCGGAGGUGUCGUCCGUUCGGCACUAGGAUCAUCGGUGAUCUGAAUCACGACGAGUACGACUCCAUCAACCCCGUUCACUUGAACGCUUCCGCUUAGCGAUCUACAAGGGUAUGUAGAUGCACUCUCUUUCUACUCGUUGCUGGUCUCUCCAUAGAUAGAUCUUGGUGAUGCGUAGGAAAUUUUUUGAAUUUCUGCUACGUUACCCAACAGUGGCAUCAUGAGCUAGGUCUAUUGCGUAGAUUCUUUGCACGAGUAGAACACAAAGUAGUUGUGGGCGUCGAUAUUGUUCAAUAUGCUUGCCGUUACUAGUCUUAUCUUGAUUCGGCGGCAUCGUGGGAUGAAGCGGCCCGGACCAACCUUACACGUACGCUUACGUGAGACCGGUUCCACCGACAAACAUGCACUAGUUGCAUAAGGUGGCUGGCGGGUGUCUGUCUCUCCCACUUUAGUCAGAUCGGAUUCGAUGAAAAGGGUCCUUAUGAAGGGUAAAUAGCAAUUGGCAUAUCACGUUGUGGUUCAUGCGUAGGUAAGAAACGUUCUUGCUAGAAACCCAUAGCAGCCACGUAAAACAUGCAACAACAAUUAGAGGACGUCUAACUUGUUUUUGCAGGGUAUGCUAUGUGAUGUGAUAUGGCCAAAGGAUGUGAUGAAUGAUAUAUGUGAUGUAUGAGAUUGAUCAUGUUCUUGUAAUAGGAUUCACGACUUGCAUGUCGAUGAGUAUGACAACCGGCAGGAGCCAUAGGAGUUGUCUUUGUUUUUUUGUAUGACCUGCGUGUCAUUGAAGAACACCAUGUAAACUACUUUACUUUAUUGCUAAACGCGUUAGUCAUAGAAGUAGAAGUAGUCGUUGGCGUGACAACUUCAUGAAGACACGAUGAUGGAGAUCAUGAUGAUGGAGAUCAUGGUGUCAUGCCGGUGACAAGUUGAUCAUGGAGCCCCGAAGAUGGAGAUCAAUGGAGCUAUAUGAUAUUGGCCAUAUCAUGUCACAACUAUAUUUGAUUGCAUGUGAUGUUUAUCAUGUUUAUGCAUCUUGUUUUCUUAGAACGACGGUAGUAAAUAAGAUGAUCCCUCAUUAAAAUUUCAAGAAGUGUUCUCCCCUAACUGUGCACCGUUGCUACAGUUCGUCGUUUCGAAGCACCACGUGAUGAUCGGGUGUGAUAGAUUCUUACGUUCACAUACAACGGGUGUAAGACAGUUUUACACAGCGAAAACACUUAGGGUUAACUUGACGAGCCUAGCAUGUACAGACAUGGCCUCGGAACACGGAGACCGAAAGGUCGAGCAUGAGUCGUAUAGUAGAUACGAUCAACAUGAAGAUGUUCACCGAUGAUGACUAGUCCGUCUCACGUGAUGAUCGGACACGGCCUAGUUUGACUCGGAUCAUGUAAUCACUUAGAUGACUAGAGGGAUGUCUAUCUGAGUGGGAGUUCAUAAGAUGAACUUAAUUAUCCUGAACAUAGUCAAAAGACCUUUUGCAAAUUAUGUCGUAGCUCACGCUAUAGUUCUACUGUUUAGAUAUGUUCCUAGAGAAAAUAUAGUUGAAAGUUGAUAGUAGCAAUUAUGCGAUCAGUAGAAAGCUCAUGUCCUUAAUGCACCGCUCAAUGUGCUGAACCCCAAACGUCGUUUGUGGAUGUUUCGAACAUCGAACAUACACGUUUUGAUAACUACGUGAUAGUUCAGUUAAAUGGUUUAGAGUAUAGGCACCAAAGACGUUUUCGAAAUGUCGCGGAACAUAUGAGAUGUUUCGAGGGCUGAAAUUAAGAUUUCAGGCUCGUGCCCACGUCAAGAGGUAUGAGACCUCCAACGAUUUUCUUAGCCUGCAAACUAAGGGAGAAAAGCUCAAUCGUUGAGCUUGUGCUCAGAUUGUCUGAGUACAACAAUCACUUGAAUCAAGUGGGAGUUGAUCUUCCAGAUGAAAUAGUGAUAGUUUCUCCGAAGUCAUUACCACCAAGCUGCUAGAGCUUCGUGAUGAACUAUAACAUAUCAAGGAUAGAGAUGAUGAUCCUUGAGGUAUUCGCGUUGUUUGACAUCGCGAAAGUAGAAAUCAAGAAGGAGCAUCAAUUGUUGAUGGUUGGUGAAACCACUAGUUUCAAGAAGGGCAAGGGAAGGAAGGGAUACUUCAUGAAACGGCAAAUCAGCUGCUGCACCAAUGAAGAAACCCGAGGUUGAACCCAAACCCGAGACUAAGUGCUUCUGUAAUAAGGGGAACAACCACUGGAGCAGGAUUACCCUAGAUACUUGGUAGAUGAGAAGGCUGGCAAGGUCGAUAGAAGUAUAUUGGAUAUACAUUGUGUUAAUGUGUACUUUACUAGUACUCCUAGUAGCACCAGGGUAUUAGAUACCGGUUCGGUUGCUAAGUGUUAGUAACUCGAAAUAAAAGCUACGGAAUAAAUCGGAGACUAGCUAAAGGUGAGCUGACGAUAUGUGUUGGAAGUGUUUCCAAGUUUGAUGUGAUCAAACAUCGCACGCUCCCUCUACCAUCAAGAUUAGUAUUAAACCAGAAUAAUUAUCAUUUGGUGUUUGCGUUGAGCAUAGACAUGAUUGGAUUAUGUCUAUCGCAAUACGGUUAUUCAUUUAAGGAGAAUAAUGGUUACUCUAUUUAUUUGAAUAAUACCUUCGAUGGUCAUGCACCUAAAGGAAUGGUUUAUUGAAUCUCGAUCGUAGUGAUACACAUUUUCAUGCCAAAAGAUAUAAGAUAGUAAUGAUAGUACCACUUACUUGUGGCACUGCCAUGUAAGUCAUAAUGGUAUAAAACGCAUGAAGAAGCUCCAUGUUGAUGGAUCUUUGGACUCACUCGUUUUGAAAAGUUUGAGACAUGCGAACCAUGUCUAUUGGUGUAUAUGCAUGAAGAAACUCCAUGCAGAUGGAUCGUUUAGACUCACUUGAUUUUGAAUCACUUGAGAUAUGCAAAUCAUACCACAAAGGCAAGAUGACUGAAAAGCCUCGGUUUCAGUAAGAUGGAACAAGAUAGCAACUCGUUGGAAGUAACACAUUUUGAUGUGUGCAGUCCAAUGAGUGCUGAGGCAUGCAGUGAAUAUCGUUAUGUUCUUACUUCACAGAUGAUUUGAGUAAAUGUUGAAUAUAUUUACUUGAUGAAACACAAGUCUGAAUUAUUGAAUGGUUCAAGUAAUUUCAGAGUGAAGUAUCAGAUCAUUGUGACAAGAGGAUAAAAUGUCUAUGAUAUGAUCAUAGAGAUGAAUAUCUGAGUUACGAGUUUUGGCACACAAUUAAGACAUUGUGGAAAUUGUUUCGCAAUUAAUACCGCCUGGAACACCAUAGUGUGAUGGUGUGUUCGAACAUCAUAGUUGCACCCUAUUGGACAUGGUGCGUACCAUGAUGUCUCUUAUCGAAUUACCACUAUCGUUCAUGGGUUAGGCAUUAGAGACAACCACAUUCACUUUAAAUAGGGCACCACGUAAUUCCGAUGAGAUGACACCGUAUGAAUUAUGGUUUAGAGAAACCUAAGUUGUCGUUUCUUAAAAGUUUGGGGCUGCGACGCUUAUAUGAAAAAGUUUCAGGUUGAUAAGCUUGAACCCAAAGCGGAUAAAAUGCAUCUUCAUAGGAAACCCAAAACGGUUGGGUAUACCUCCUAAUUCAGAUCCGAAAGCAAUAUGGAUUGUUUCUUGAAUCGGGUCCUUUCUCGAGGAAAGGUUUCUCUCGAAAGAAUUGAGUGGGAGGAUGGUGGAGACUUGAUGAGGUUAUAUGAACCGUCUCUUCAACUAGUGUGUGGCAGGGCACAGGAAGAUUGUUCCUGUGGCACCUACACCAAUUGAAGUGGAAGCUUAUGAUAUUGAUCAUGAAACUUCGGAUCAAGUCACUACCAAACCUCGUAGGACGACAAGAACACGUACUACUUCGGAGUGGUAAGGUGAUCCUGUCUUGAAGGUCAUGUUGCUAGACAACAAUGAACCUACGAGCUAUGGAGAAGCAAUGGUGGGCCCGGAUUCCGAUAAAUGGCUCGAGGCCAUAAAAUCCGAGAACGGAUCCAUGACUUUGGAAGAAAUACUUGAUGGUCGUAAGGCCAUUGGGUACGGAUGGAUUUUAAAAGGAAGACAGACAAUGAUGGUAAGAAUUACCAUUAAGAAAGCUCGACUUGUCGCUAAGAUAUUUUCCGACAAGUUCAAGGAGUUGAUUACGGUGAGGUUUUCUCACUCGUAGCGAUGCUAAGAGUCUGUUGGAAUUGGAUUAGCAGUUACUGCAUGAUUGAUGAAAUCUUGCAGAUAGGAUGUCAAAACAUUUUUUCCUCGACGUUAUACUUGAGGAAAGGUUGUAUGUGAUACAACCGGAAGGUUUUGUCAAUCCCAAAAGAUGCUAAUAAGUAUGCAAAGCUCCAGCAAUCCUUCUAAGGACUGGAGUAAGCAUCUCGGAGUUGGAAUGUAUGCUUUGAUGAUGAUCAAAGAUUUUGGGUUUGUACAAAGUUUAUGAGAAACUUGUAUUUCCAAAGAAGUGAGUGGGAGCACUAUAGAAUUUCUGAUGAGUAUAUGUUGAUCAGAAAUGAUAUAGAAUUUCUAGAAAGCAUAUAGGGUUAUUUGAAAGGUGUUUUUCCAUAGAAAACCUGGAUUAAGCUACUUGAACAUUGAGCAUCGAGAUCUAUAAGGAUAGAUCAAAAUGCUUAAUAAUACUUUCAAAUGAGCAGAAACCUUGACAUGAUCUUGAAGGUGUUCAAGAUGGACCAGUCAAAGAAGGAGUUCUUGCCUGAGUUGUAAGGUGCGAAGUUAAGACUUAAAGCUCGACCACGGCAGAAUAGAGAGAAAGGACGAAGGUCGUCCCCUAUGCUUUAGACGUAGGCUCUACAGUAUGCCGUGCUGUGUACCGCACCGAAAGUGUGCCUUGCCAUGAGUCAGUCAAGGGGUACAAGAGUGAUCCAUCAAUGGAUCAUAGGACAGCGGUCAAAGUUAUCCUUAGUAACUAGUGGACUAAGGAAUUUUUCUCGAUUAUGGAGGUGGUAAAAGAGUUCGUCGUAAAAGUUACGUCGAUGCAAGCUUAACACCUAUCCGGAUAGCUCUGAGUAGAGAGACCGGAUACAUAUAAUGGAGCAAUAAUUUAGAAUAGCUCCAAGUAGAACAGUUGUUUGGAAUAGCUCCAAAUAGAGCGUGGUAGCUGCAUCUAGGAGAUGACAUGGAGAUUUGUAAAGCACACACGGAUCUGAAAGGUUCAGACCCGUUGACUAAAACCUCUCUCACAAGCAACAUGAUCAAACAUAAAACUCAUUGAGUGUUAAUCACAUAGUGAUGUGAACUAGACUACUGACUCUAGUAAACUCUCGGGUAUUAGUCACAUGGCGAUGUGACCUGUGAGUGUUAAUCACAUGACAAUGUGAACUAGAUUAUUGACUCUAGUGCAAGUGGGAGACUGUUGGAAAUAUGCCCUAGAGGCAAUAAUAAAAGUGUUAUUAUUAUAUUUCCUUGUUCAUGAUAAUUGUCUUUUAUUCAUGCUAUAACUGUAUUAUCCGGAAAUCGUAAUACACGUGUGAAUACAUAGACCACAAUAUGUCCCUAGUAAGCCUCUAGUUGACUAGCUCGUUGAUCAAUAGAUGGUCACGGUUUCCUGGCUAUGGACAUUGGAUGUCGUUGAUAACGGGAUCACAUCAUUAGGAGAAUGAUGUGAUGGACAAGACCCAAUCCUAAGACUAGCUCAAAGAUCGUGUAGUUCGUUUGCUAGAGCUUUGCCAAUGUCAAGUUUCUCUUCCUUUGACCAUGAGAUCGUGUAACUCCUGGAUACCGUAGGAGUGCUUUGGGUGUAUCAAACGUCACAACGUAACUGGGUGACUAUAAAGGUGCACUACAGGUAUCUCCGAAAGUAUCUAUUGUUUUAUGCGGAUCGAGACUGGAAUUUGUCACUCCGUGUAAACGGAGAGGUAUCUCUAGGCCCACUCGGUAGGACAUCAUCAUUUGCGCAAAUGUGACCAAGGAGUUGAUCACGGGAUGAUGUGUUACAGAACGAGUAAAGAGACUUGCCGGUAACGAGAUUGAACAAGGUAUCGGUAUACCGACGAUCGAAUCUCGGGCAAGUAACAUACCGAUAGACAAAGGGAAUUGAAUACGGGAUCGAUUGAGUCCUUGACAUCGUGGUUCACCUGAUGAGAUCAUCGUGGAACAUGUGGGAGCCAUCAUGGGUAUCCAGAUCCCGCUGUUGGUUAUUGACCGGAGAACGUCUCGGUCAUGUCUGCAUGUCUCCCGAACCCGUAGGGUCUACACACUUAAGGUUCGAUGACGCUAGGGUUAUAAAGGAAGCUUGUAUGUGGUUACCGAAUGUUGUUCGGAGUCCCGGAUGAGAUCCUGGACGUCACGAGGAGUUCCGGAAUGGUCCGGAGGUAAAGAUUUAUAUAUAGGAAGUCCUGUUUCGGCCAUCGGGACAAGUUUCGGGGUCAUCGGUAUUGUACCGGGACCACCGGAAGGGUCCCGGGGGCCCACCGGGUGGGGCCACCUGCCCCGGGGGGCCACAUGGGCUGUAGGGGGUGCGCCUUGGCCUACAUGGGCCAAGGGCACCAGCCCCAAGAGGCCCAUGCGCCAAGAGAAGAGAAAAAGGGAAGAGUCCUAAAGGGGGAAGGCACCUCCGAGGUGCCUUGGGGAGGAUGGACUCCUCCCCAUCCUUAGCCGCACCCCUUCCUUGGAGGAGGGGGCAAGGCUGCGCCCUUCCCCUCUCCCUUGGCCCUAUAUAUAGUGGGGAAAAGGAGGAGCAAUCAUACCUAAGGCCUUUGGUUGCCUCCCUCUCCCUCCCGUGACACAUCUCCUCUCCCGUAGGUGCUCGGCGAAGCCCUGCAGGAUUGCCACGCUCCUCCACCACCACCACGCCGUUGUGCUGCUGUUGGAUGGAGUCUUCCUCAACCUCUCCCUCUCCCGUUGCUGGAUCAAGGCGUGGGAGACGUCACCGGGCUGUACGUGUGUUGAACGCGGAGGUGUCGUCCGUUCGGCACUAGGAUCAUCGGUGAUCUGAAUCACGACGAGUACGACUCCAUCAACCCCGUUCACUUGAACGCUUCCGCUUAGCGAUCUACAAGGGUAUGUAGAUGCACUCUCUUUCUACUCGUUGCUGGUCUCUCCAUAGAUAGAUCUUGGUGACGCGUAGGAAAUUUUUUGAAUUUCUGCUACGUUACCCAACAUAGGGAGGCGUCCUCUCAUGAAUAAUGCCAUGUUCCGAACAGAAGGAAUCAAACUCACUCGAGAAGUACUCUCCACCACGAUCUGACCGGACUCGUUUAAUUUUCCUUUCAAGUUGAUUCUCAACUUCUGCCUUAUAGAUUUUAAAGUAGUGUAGAGCCUCAUCCUUAGUAUUUAACAGAUAAACAUAGCAAUAUCUAGUGGAAUCGUCUAUCAAUGUCAUGAAGUAUCUCUUUCCACCUUUAGUCAACACACCAUUCAUCUCACAAAGAUCAGAAUGUAUGAGUUCUAAUGGUGCCAGGUGUCUCUCCUCUGCGGCCUUGUGAGGCUUGCGAGGUUGCUUAGCUUGCGCACAUGAAAGGCACUUAGAACCUUUGGCUAAAGUGAAACUCGGGAUUAAAUCCAAUUUGGCUAGCCGCGUCAUAACACCGAAACUAAUGUGACAAAGACGUGAAUGCCAAACUUCAGAUUCAUUAACAUUCAAAUGAAUAUGGUUCACGACUUUAUUACAAAAAUCUGCGAGGGAAAGGCGAAACAUGCCUCCGCUCUCAUAACCUUUUCCAACAAAGAGUCCAUAUUUCGUAACAACUAAUUUAUUAGACUCGAAAACCAACUUAAACCCUUCUCUACAUAGAAGGGAGCCACUAACGAGGUUCUUCUUGAUGGCGGGGACAUGUUGCACGUUAUUCAGCUGCACGAUCCUUCCCGAAGUAAACUUCAGAUCGACCGUGCCAACACCAUGAACAGAAGCACUCGCGCCAUUCCCCAUCAAUACGGACCCGUGACCUGUGACCUGGUAAGAAGUGAACAAUGAAAUGUCAGCACACACACAUGAACACCUGCACCUGUGUCCACCCACCAAUCGGUAGGCUGAAACACUGAAAAAACAGUAAAUAAAUUACCGUACCCAGAUGCACCAUUCUCAUUGUUUCCCACAAUCAUGUUGACCGACUUGGAGUCCAGUCCUGGCUUCUUGUACUUGUUUGGGCACUUGUUGGCCCAAUGUUCAACCGAACCAUAAGUAAAGCAGCCCUCAUCCUUCUUGUUCUUCUUGAAGUUCUUCUUGCCCUUCUUUUUAAAGUCGGUAUUGUGUUGGAUACCGUUCUUUCCCUUGUGUUUGUGGGACUUAUGGUUCCUCUGAUUCACCAUGUUGGCGACAGAAGUCCCUUCGGCCCCUUUUCCAUGCGAGUCCUUUGCCCUUGAAUUCUGCUCAACACUCAGAUGGCCAAUGACAUCCUCCAUAGGGAAUUCACGCCUCUGAUGUUUCAGAGUGGUGGCAAAGUUCCUCUAGGAAUUAGGGAGCUUAGCGAUUAUGCAGCCCGCGACAAACUUGCCCGGUAACUCGCACUUAGAAGUUCAAGCUCCUUAACAAUGCAUAUUAUUUCAUGAGCCUGCUCCAAUACAGGACGGUUUUCAACCAUCUUAUAAUCGUGGAACUGCGAUAUAAUAUACAUCUCGAUCCCUGCAUCGGCGGCCCCGAAUUUAGAUUCGAGCGCCUCCCACAAAUCCUUGGCGACAUGCACAUGUAAAUAUGCAUCGACCAGUUUAUCUCCGAUCACGCAAAGAACUGCUCCGAGAAACACAACGGUAGCCUCCUUGAACGCCUUCUCCUGUUCAGGAGCAAUUGUACCCGUGGAGACACCGGUGACCCAGAACAUGUUCAUAGCCGUGAGCCCUAACGUGGUCUUAGUCUGCCAACGCUUAAAGUAUGUACCGGUAAACUUAUCUGGUUUCAGUGCAGCGGCAAAGCCACUUGCCGAGAAAUUCCUGCACAUAAUAGGUUUUUGGAUUGCUGAGUAAAUAGGCAAUUUCUCUAUUAAAUUAAUCCACGAGUAAAUCACUAGCAUGGCAUUGACUAAGUUGAUGACGUACUGACUCUGAUCUAAACAUGCACGUACUAAGCAAACAGUAGACAAAUCUACACAUACUGCUAGUACUACUAAUACGAAAAUAAUCAGGAGCGGGAUAAACGCGUUAUACCUUCCAGUAGGCCAUGCAGACGCCGCGGCGGUGGUGGCGGCAGCAGCAUCCUCGGCGGCCUUCUUGUCGGCUUCAGUUGUGACGCCUGGAUAAUUAGGCUACAGUAAUCUCACGAUAAUGAUGCCACGUCACCAUGGUUACUGUUGUUAAUCUUGCAGUGUAUCACGUCCCUUUCGAAUUCUAACUUAAAAUAAAGUUAAAUGAUAAAAGUUUUCUAAAACUCAAAUCUAAAAUGUUCAAAGUGUAGUAAAUAAAUCAUAUAUGAUUAGGGUGGUGAACCCAAAAUUUUAUAAAAUGCUUAGAUGCACUAAAUAAUAGAAACAAUAGCUAAAUUAUUUAUUUAAUCGUCACUUAAAUGAUUAUAUUAUUGAAAACUACUUUUAAUAAAUAAAAGGAUAAUUGUGGCAGUAAUAUAAUUACUACCACUAAUUUAGGUGCUAGAAUUAUNNNNNNNNNNNNNNNNNNNNNNNNNNNNNNNNNNNNNNNNNNNNNNNNNNNNNNNNNNNNNNNNNNNNNNNNNNNNNNNNNNNNNNNNNNNNNNNNNNNNNNNNNNNNNNNNNNNNNNNNNNNNNNNNNNNNNNNNNNNNNNNNNNNNNNNNNNNNNNNNNNNNNNNNNNNNNNNNNNNNNNNNNNNNNNNNNNNNNNNNNNNNNNNNNNNNNNNNNNNNNNNNNNNNNNNNNNNNNNNNNNNNNNNNNNNNNNNNNNNNNNNNNNNNNNNNNNNNNNNNNNNNNNNCAUGGCCCAGUAGGCCAUCGGGCCGCCAGGCCGGCCCAGCCGCGCCCCACUCCCUUUUCCCCUGGUGCCGAAACCCUAACCCCCUAAACCUGGUUAGUUAGUGUUCAGCCUAUGACAUGUGGGACCCAACGGCCAGUUUGACUAGUCAAACAGUCAAAGCUGACCGCUGACAUCACCCAGACAUCUUGCUGAUGUCAUAAUUGCAUUUUCUAAUUUAAUUAAUUUUGUUCAUUCUGAAAAUGAUUUAAAUCUUUAAAAAUUAAUAUGAAAUAAUCCAUAACUCGGAUGAAAAUACUUUGUACAUGAAAAUUGCUUACAACGACGAGACGAACCCGGAUACGCAGCCCGUUUGUCCGCCACGCAUCCCUAGCAUAGCAAACACGCAGUUUUCCCCCUCCGGCUCCUCUGCCCGAAAACGCGAAACACCGGGGAUACUUUCCCGGAUGUUUUCCCCUUCACCGGUACCACCUCGUACACGUUAGGGCACACCUAGCAUCACGCUUUGUCAUGUCGUGCAUCGUCAUGCAUUUGUUUGCAUUUAUUUAUUGUUUCUUCCCCCUCUUUUCUCGCUAGACACCGAGACCGACGCCGCUGCUACCCAGUACAACUACGGAGUUGACGACCCCUCUCUCUUGCCAGAGCAACCAGGCAAGCCCCCCCUUGAUCACCAUAUAUCGCCUACUCUCCUCUAUACUGCUUGCAUUAGAGUAGUGUAGCAUGUUACUGCUUUCCGUUAAUCCUAUCCUGAUGCAUAGCCUGUCAUUGUUGCUACAACUAUUGAUAUCUUACCUGCAAUCCUAAAUGCUUAGUAUAGGAUGCUAGUUUAUCAUCAGUGGCCAUACAUUCUUGUCCGCCUGCCAUGCUAUACUUUCGGGCCGUGAUCCCUCGGGAGUUGAUCACGGGUAUAUACAUAUACUUUAUACAUGAUACAUGUGAUGACUAAAGUCGGGUUGGCUCGAGGAGUACCCGCGAGUGAUUCACGGAUUGGGGGCUGAAAGGACCUUUGUCCCGACGGCCCUCUGGGUGGAUCUUUGUGGCGGAGCGACAGGGCAGGUUGAGACCACCUAGGAGAGAGGUGGGCCUGGCCCUGGUCGGCGUUCGCGGUGUCUUCAAGAUAACACAUUUAACGAGAUCUUGGUAUUUGAUCUGAGUCUGGCUACUGGCCUAUAUGCACUAACCAUCUACGUGGGGACAGUUAUGGCAAAAACAUGUGAACAUGCUGAACAUGGCAAGUAUGUGAACAUGACAAAAACAUAAUCAGUUCUCAGACUAGUGAAAACUGGAACAUGCUGAAACAGAUAUCAAGUAGGCAUGUUUACGAGCUCGAUGCACUCGCUACAGAGCAAGUCAUGACGAGCUAAGCAUACAUCCAUCAAGAAUACACAAAAUACAAGCUAGACAUAGCAAGAAAAAGAACAUAGCAUGCACGGAUCAACUACAACAUCAUCGGCAAUAUCACUAACAAGUAGACAAUCUGCCCAGAUUCACGAAAUAGCAAAAGUAGAGCUCGAUUGACUCAAGUUAGGGUGCUCCAUAAUUGCAAACAAAUACAUGGAUGGAUAGAGCACUACAAGAUUAACAAAACAUCCUUACUGAUCAUCCUCAAAAGACGCACGUAUCACUAGGAAACAAUAUGAACAUAUGGCCAUAUGAGAUAAACAGUCCAAGGACUUGGUGGAAAUGCUAAGUCCCUGAAAUCAGCAUUAACAAAUGCCUCACUUUGCAAGCUUGCGCUAGUCACCACACACAUCACAAAAAUACAUGGGUUGCACCUCUGGAAAGAUGGCAAAACCCUUAACAAAACAUAUGUAGAGCUCAUGGGCAUAUCAUGCACACAAUAAUCAUGACAAAAAUGACAAAUAUCUACUUGGAGCAGCAAAUCUGACAAUUAUCUCAAAUAGCACUCUUCUAACAGCAUUUGGGGCAUCAAGAUGAACUCAAAUGAAAAUGAUGCAAUGAGAUGAAAUGAUGUACUCUCUGAGAUGAACAUUUUGAUAUGCUAUAUGCCCAAAACGGAGCUACGGAUGCAAAGUUAUGAUGCGAUGAACAGGAGCAAAUGAACUAGGGUUUCGGGGCAAAAGUCAACCCAAACAGGAUCUCAGAUCCAGAUCCGGGGCACGUCUCCCGAAGUUCACCGGAAUCGGAGGUGGGCCGCCGGAGUUGAAGUCGGCCGGAGCGGGGAGGCGCUCUCGGGCUCGCCGUAGUGGGGAGGAGCUUGCCAGCGGGGUCGGUGGCGUGGAGGCGAGGUCCGGCGGGGUNNNNNNNNNNNNNNNNNNNNNNNNNNNNNNNNNNNNNNNNNNNNNNNNNNNNNNNNNNNNNNNNNNNNNNNNNNNNNNNNNNNNNNNNNNNNNNNNNNNNNNNNNNNNNNNNNNNNNNNNNNNNNNNNNNNNNNNNNNNNNNNNNNNNNNNNNNNNNNNNNNNNNNNNNNNNNNNNNNNNNNNNNNNNNNNNNNNNNNNNNNNNNNNNNNNNNNNNNNNNNNNNNNNNNNNNNNNNNNNNNNNNNNNNNNNNNNNNNNNNNNNNNNNNNNNNNNNNNNNNNNNNGCCUGAGCUCGGCCGGCGACCGGCGCCGGGGAAGAUGAGCGCGGGGCGCUCGGGCGCGGCCGCGGGGGGAAGUCGGGCGGCGGGCGGAGGCAACGGGCCUCGAGGGCCCCUCCUGGGCCUCCCGGGCCGGCGAUGUGGGGCGACCGACGGGCGAGUGGCGGAGCGCCACGUGGCAGCCGGAGACAGGCCGGGGGAAGCGGGGCGGACACGUCCGUCGGUAGCGACUCUGUCCGGUGGCGCGCGAUGCUGAUUUGGAUCUAGGGUAUUUCGCGGGGGAAGGAGAAGGAGAUUUUCGGGGGUGGUCUUUAAAUAGGCAUAGAGGGAGCUAGAAGAGUCCAAAUGAGGUGCGGUUUUCGGCCACGUGAUCGUGAUCGAACGCUCUAGGUGAUGGAGAAGGUUUAGGUGGGUUUUGGGCCAACUUGGAGGGGUGUUGGGCUGCAACACACACGAGGCCUUUUUGGUCCCUCGGUUAACCGUUGGAGUAUCAAACGAAGUCCAAAUGAUACGAAACUUGACAGACGGUCUACCGGUAGUAAACCAAGGCCGCUUGGCAUGUCUCGGUCCAAUCCGGAAAUGUUUAAUCCCCACACACGAAAGAAAGGUAGAAAUGACCACCGGAGGAGAACGAAGCAUCGGAAUGCAAAACGGACAACGGGGAAAUGCUCGGAUGCAUGAGAUGAACACGUAUGCAAAUGCAAUGCACAUGAUGACAUGAUAUGAGAUGCAUGACAACGACAACAACACACGGAGACAAAAACCCGAACCUGAGAAAAUAAAAUAACUUAAGGCCGGAAACGGCAAGAUUUGGAUUACAUAUUGGGUAAAUCACAUCCGGGGUGUUACAAUCACCAGCAGACUUCGAAGAUAUUCUCCGAUCUACUCCCGAGAACUUGUGUUGAUUUAUUUUGCAGUCCCUUAACACCAUUGAAUCCUUAUGGAUAAAUGUGUACCCUCGCCGUUCAUACUUUCAUCCCUAGUUGUUCUUGUUAUUACAAGAUACCCGAAAGUAUUCUCCGACUUUUGAGAAUCCUUUUUCCGACUGCCUUGCAGUUCCUUGCCACCUGAAUACCCCUACGGAUAAUUGCUCGCCCUUAUCGAGUAUCCGCUCAUCCCCAGUUGUUCAGGUGUUUCACAAUUGUCUUCGAAGUACUAUUCGAUCCUCCAAAAUUCCUCAGUAGCUUAUUGCUCUGCAAUACUUGUCUGCUUGCAUUAUGGAUGCUUUCCAUAUGUCUGGCAAUAUUCGUUAGUAUCCUUAGACACCGUCAUUUUGAUACUAUUGACUCAACAUGAGUGCGAAUGAACGCAAUCAUCACUUGAUCCUUUUAAAUUAUCUUUCUGGCUCGGACGUCAUUUUUGAACAUAAGCUUGUUCUCGACCAAUCUGUUUGCCGUCAAUUGUACCCUUAGGUCUAUUGAACUUAUCCACCCUUGAUCAGAGCGUCUGCUUCUGAUCCUUCUAUUUGGAAAUCAUAAUUCCUUUGAUAUCUAAGCAUCGAAUCAUUCAGGUGUCCUAUAAUCUGAUGCCCUUGCAUCCUUCCUUCAAUUGAUAGUAUGCCGAUGCUCACAUCAGCUCCGCUAUGGACCGUCAGAUCCUUUAUUGGAUUAUUAUUCGAUAGUGUCCUCCUUGUUCAAUAACCUUGUGAGUUUUUCCUCGGAUACAUAAUGCUUUUGGUAAAUUGUAUCCUCUGUUUUCUCAACCAUGCUCUGUUUUAGAGCUGGUGGUAUUUACGAUUGAAGCUGGUGGUAUAUGUUUCCACGAUACCCUGAUGGGUUGAACCUACGCCUUUCUUAAUCUGUGUGAACCCGAAAGUUUUCACGGGUCAUACUCCUCUGGUAAUUCACCAGGUAGGUUUUGACACUGAAAUCAUUUUUAUCUAGAGCAGUGAAUGAAAGGUUAUGCAUUGAAGAAGUGGGAGUUGACCUUGAACUUUGUGUUCAUGCCCAUGGACACGAUGUAGAUCUUAUCAUUAGAGCUUCUCUUAAAUUAAACUUUCCCUUGGUAUAAGUUCUUAUAUCUGGGACCCGGCCUUUUGCAAUCGUGGUUUCGACCAUAUGUAUUUCUUUGACCCAUUUCACGGGCAAGUUUCAGCACUUGUCUUCUAUAGAUCAAUACACCAGUCCAACCUUUACUUUGAUAUUCCGUCGAGUAUUACACCAUGGUACCUCGAUAAUAUCAAGUACUACAUAACCUCUUAUGAGUUCUUCAUCGAGUACUACAUUCUCACUGAUUCCAAUUUUUCACGGGCUCUGAGUUAUUAAACACUCAAAGACCGAUAACUGAACCGAGUCCACACUACGGUUCAACAACUAUUAUAAAUCUUCUUUGCUUACGAGUUUGUACCCGAUCACGUCCUACCUACCCUAUUUGGCUAUAUCAUUACUGUGAUGAUUUUAACUGUGCUACCUGGUCCUUAUUCUCGAAGCAGAACUUUCGACGAUGAGCUAAGCUUACGACGAUCUUCCUCAUCAUACCAUUUUUCCUUAAACAAUGAGCUUGGUUUCGAGUUUAUGUCAUACCCUUGGGUUCAAGCAAGGUUAGCACACCCGGCUGGAGGCCCUAUGGUUAUAGAUUCCUUUUCAGCAAGGUUAUCCAUUCUUCCAUGAGGAAAUUGUAAGACUUAUUCUACAAGUUAUUCCUGAUGGAUCCUUUGUGUUUCCAAAGUCUGACCUUUGCCUGAAUACCAUGUCAAAGCUAUCUCGAAGCAUAUAUAUGAUACUCCAAUUUUCAACAAGAACAUUUAAAUCAUAAUGUUAAAUGUUUCCUGCUCAAUUAUCCAAACACCGUUGUACGGGUAAUGUCAUGAAAAUUCUCUCCCCUACCUAAAGAGUUUUCUACAUUAUAUCCUGUCAUGGAUAAUAUGUUCUGCUUGUCCUUGGGAAGAAUAUACCCUUGAAAUAUGUGUUUAAGCACAUUUUCCUUUCCAUUGUUCUGUUUAAAACCUGAUAAUCACUUUUCCUUUCCAUUGGUUUGUUUAAACCUUCUUGUGAUCUAUAUUGUAUAAGCAGUAAUAUAUCCUUGCUUAUGUGAACACCUCUUUGUACCACUCUGUUAGAAAGACCCUGUUACUUUUGUUGAUGGCAUUCCGGUAACCACCGAUGGACGAGAAUCUCGCCUACUGGUCCGCCUCGUUCAACGAGCAGGAAAAUGGUUCUCUUCGUCCCUUGCCCUUGGUACUGAUGUGUUGCCGACAUGACCGACAGACUAUCCUCUGACAUGCCUUGCUUACAUGAUCGUGCAAGAUGUCACCGACCUUCCUACUUUUAACCACAUGGUGGGCCCAUAACCCACGGUUCCAUAGGAUCGAAACCUAACUCUCCUGUACACCUUGUUAACAAAGUUAUCCCUUGCUCUUGGUUUCGUAGGUAAUUCACGAGCCACCUUCCUAGUGCUCCAUUCUGGCAUCAGAUGCAACACUUACUCUCGCUGCUCUGAACCCUUUCUCACUAUGGUUCAGACCUUGAGCAACUAUCUAUCCGCUUGGACCCUCUCAUUGUACCUUCGUACCUUACUCUUGAUGUAUUUUAUAUGUUCAACUCGAGAGGUAGUCUUAUGCUCAUUCAUGGGUUAACCCCCAGCUUGUUUCCCUCAUAAGCAUUCUGACGUAGCCAAGUUGCCUAUUACCUAUUCGUAAGUACGUUGGAGUUCCGAAGAAAGGAUGACGACUUGGUCAUGGUGACUUAAAUCAGAGAAAUGAAGACAUCAAUGAAAGGGAUCAACCUCUUCGAGAAGAGAAACCAAGACCGAGAAGACUCGAUAGAAUUUCAUAGCCACGUCUUUCCCUUACUCCCCUCUUAAAUCUCGGGACGAGAUUUCUUGUAGUGGAGGAGAAUUGUGAUGCCCGGAUAAUUAGGCUACAGUAAUCUCACAAUAAUGAUGCCACGUCACCAUGGUUACUGUUGUUAAUCUUGCGGUGUAUUACGUCCCUUUCGAAUUCUAACUUAAAAUAAAGUUAACCGAUAAAAGUUUUCUAAAAGUCAAAUCUAAAAUGUUCAAAGUGUAGCAAAUAAAUCAUAUAUGAUUAGGGUGGUGAACCCAAAAUUUUAUAAAAUGCUUAGAUGCACUAAAUGAUAGAAACAAUAGCUAAAUUAUUUAUUUAAUCGUCACUUAAAUGAUUAUAUUAUUGAAAACUACUUUUAAUAAAUAAAAGGAUAAUUGUGGCAGUAAUAUAAUUACUACCACUAAUUUAGGUGCUAGAAUUAUAUUUCAUAAAACUAAAAUAAUAUGAAUUAAAACCGUAAAAGAAAAAUGUUAUAAAUAGUUAAACAAAAAAAAGAAAUAGAAGAUCCCCCCCCCCCGCGCUGGACCAUGCCCCAGCAGGCCAUCGGGCCGCCAGGCCGGCCCAGCCAUGCCCCACUCCNNNNNNNNNNNNNNNNNNNNNNNNNNNNNNNNNNNNNNNNNNNNNNNNNNNNNNNNNNNNNNNNNNNNNNNNNNNNNNNNNNNNNNNNNNNNNNNNNNNNNNNNNNNNNNNNNNNNNNNNNNNNNNNNNNNNNNNNNNNNNNNNNNNNNNNNNNNNNNNNNNNNNNNNNNNNNNNNNNNNNNNNNNNNNNNNNNNNNNNNNNNNNNNNNNNNNNNNNNNNNNNNNNNNNNNNNNNNNNNNNNNNNNNNNNNNNNNNNNNNNNNNNNNNNNNNNNNNNNNNNNNNNNNNNNNNNNNNNNNNNNNNNNNNNNNNNNNNNNNNNNNNNNNNNNNNNNNNNNNNNNNNNNNNNNNNNNNNNNNNNNNNNNNNNNNNNNNNNNNNNNNNNNNNNNNNNNNNNNNNNNNNNNNNNNNNNNNNNNNNNNNNNNNNNNNNNNNNNNNNNNNNNNNNNNNNNNNNNNNNNNNNNNNNNNNNNNNNNNNNNNNNNNNNNNNNNNNNNNNNNNNNNNNNNNNNNNNNNNNNNNNNNNNNNNNNNNNNNNNNNNNNNNNNNNNNNNNNNNNNNNNNNNNNNNNNNNNNNNNNNNNNNNNNNNNNNNNNNNNNNNNNNNNNNNNNNNNNNNNNNNNNNNNNNNNNNNNNNNNNNNNNNNNNNNNNNNNNNNNNNNNNNNNNNNNNNNNNNNNNNNNNNNNNNNNNNNNNNNNNNNNNNNNCUCCUUUCGCCACUAUCGUACGCCGUCGCCGGUAGUCGGCCACGCCCGCUCAAUCCCGCUCCAGCCGCGGCUUCGCCUUGUCUCCCGCGGUCCGGUUUGGCCUCAGCGCGGGCAAUGCCAACGCCCCUGCGCCCGUAACCACUCCGGCCAGUGCCCGCCAAGGCCCUAUAGGCCUAUGACAGCUAGGCCCCACCCCAUGUGCCAAUGACAGGUGGGCCUAGCCCCAGAACGAAAACGAUUUAUAAAUAUAUAUAUAUAUAAUUAAUUAAAAAAUAAUGAAAUUAAUUAAUUAAUUAAUUAAUUAACCUAAUUAAUUACAGUUAAUAAACCUAAUUAAUUAGUUAGACUAACUAAACCUGGUUAGUUAGUGUUCAGACUAUGACAUGUGGGACCCAACGGCCAGUUUGACUAGUCAAACAGUCAAAGCUGACCGCUGACAUCACCCUGACAUCUUGCUGAUGUCAUAAUUGCAUUUUCUAAUUUAAUUAAUUCUGUUAAUUCUGAAAAUGAUUUAAAUCUUUAAAAAUUAAUAUCAAAUAAUCCAUAACUCGGAUGAAAAUACUUUCUACAUGAAAAUUGCUCAGAACGACGAGACGAACCUGGAUACGCAGCCCGUUCAUCCGCCAUGCAUCCCUAGCAUAGUAAACACGCAGCUUUCCCCCUCCGGCUCCUCUGCCCGAAAACGCGAAACACCGGGGAUACUUUCCCGGAUGUUUUCCCCUUCACCGGUACCACCUCAUACCGCGUUAGGGCACACCUAGCAUCACGCUUUGUCAUGUUGUGCAUCAUCAUGCAUUUGUUUGCAUUAUAUUUAUUAUUUCUUCCCCCUCUUCUCUACUAGACACCGAGACCGACGCCGCUGCUACCCAGUACGACUACGGAGUUGAUGACCCCUCUCUCUUGCCAGAGCAACCAGGCAAGCCCCCCCCCCUUGAUCACCAUAUAUCGCCUACUCUCCUCUAUACUGCUUGCAUUAGAGUAGUGUAGCAUGUUACUUCUUUCCGUUAAUCCUAUCCUGAUGCAUAGCCUGUCAUUGUUGCUACAACUAUUGAUACCUUACCUGCAAUCCUAAAUGCUUAGUAUAGGAUGCUAGUUUAUCAUCAGUGGCCAUACAUUCUUGUCCGUCUGCCAUGCUAUACUAUCGGGUCGUGAUCACUCGGGAGUUGAUCACGGGUAUAUACCUAUACUUUAUACAUGAUACAUGUGAUGACUAAAGUAGGGUUGGCUCGAGGAGUACCCGUGAGUGAUUCACGGAUUGGGGGCUGAAAGGACCUUUGUCCCGACGGCCCUCUGGGUGGAUCUUUGUGGCGGAGCGACAGGGCAGGUUGAGACCACCUAGGAGAGAGGUGGGCCUGGCCCUGGUCGGCGUUCGCGGUGUCUUCAAGAUAACACGUUUAACGAGAUCUUGGUAUUUGAUCUGAGUCUGGCUACUGGCCUAUACGCACUAACCAUCUACGUGGGGACAGUUUUGGGCACUCGACGUCGUGGUAUCAGCCGAAGCCUUUGUGAUGUCAGCGACUGAGCGGCGUGCGCCAGGUUGGACCGCGUAAAGCAACUUCCUUUAUAAUGGAGGUUGCUAGGUCUGCCCACCGGCCGCGUUCGCAACGUGCAGGUGUGCAAAGGGCGAUGGGCCCAGACCCCUGGACCAUAGGAUUUAGACCGGCGUGCUGACCUCUCUGUUGUGCCUAGGUAGGCUGCGACGUGUUGAUCUUCCGAGGCCGGGCAUGACCCAGGAAAGUGUGUCCGGCCAAAUGGGAUCGAGCGUGUUGCGUUAUGUGGUGCACCCCUGCAGGGAAGUUAAUCUAUUCGAAUAGCUGUGAUCUUCGGUAACAGGAUGACUUGGAGUUGUACCUUGACCUUAUGAGAACUAGAACCAGAUACUUAAUAAAACACACCCUUCCAAGUGCCAGAUACAACCGGUGAUCGCUCUCUCACAGGGCGACGAGGGGAGGAUCAUCAGUUAGGAUUAUGCUAUGCGAUGAUACUUGAAGGACUUCAGUCUACUCUCUUCUACAUGCUGCAAGACGGAGGCUGCCAGAAGCGUAGUCUUCGAAAGGAUUAGCUACCCCCCCCCCCCUUAUUCCGGCUUUCUGUAGUUCAGUCCACAUAUAAUAGCCUUAUUCCAGUUGAUACCAAUGCAUACAUAUGUAGUGUAGCUCCUUGCUUGGGAGUACUUUGGAUGAGUACUCACGGUUGCUUUCUCCCUCUUUUCCCUCCUUUUCUAUACUCGAUUGUUGCGACCAGACGAUGGAGCCCAGGAGCCAGACGCCACCGUCGACGACGACUACUACUACUUGGGAGGUGCCUACUACUACGUGCAGCCCGCUGAUGACGGCCAGGAGUAGUUUAGGAGGAUCCCAGGCAGGAGGCCUGCGCCUCUUUCGAUCUGUAUCUCAGUUUGUGCUAGCCUUCUUAAGGCAAACUUGUUUAACUUAUGUCUGUACUCAGAUAUUGUUGAUUCCGCUGACUCGUCUAUGAUCGAGCUCUUGUAUUCGAGCCCUCGAGGCCCCUGACUUGUAAUAUGAUGCUUGUAUGACUUAUUUUAUUUGUAGAGUUGUGUUGUGAUAUCUUCCCGUGAGUCCCUGAUCUUGAUCGUACACGUUUGCGUGUAUGAUUAGUGUAUGAUUGAAUCGGGGGCGUCACAUCAGCUUUCUCGGCGGCAGCACGGUCGGCGUCGGUGGACAUGGUGAUGAUGAAGGCGACGCGGACGUAGAGGAAGUAGACGGUCGGAAGCGAGCAGUCGCGUAAUCGCUGCCCAAAAACCUAUUCGCCCCUCACCCCGUACAGGAACCAGAGGGCGUGGUUUCGGAGACCUGCUCUCUCGUCGACCGUGUACGCGGCGGACGGGAUGGAGUCACCGGCGGCAGCAGCAGCAAAGGAACGACGGUGGGCGUGGGCGUGAGCAGAUGUGAUCUGUUCGUGGCGGCUAGGGUUAGGAGACACCACAUACUUAUAGGCGCAGCCGCGUGGAGAGACGUGGGCUCGACCCACGUUCGAGUCCGUGACAGCCCACGAUCCGACGUCUUAAAUCGUGGCCCAGCUGUCAGAGAACGCUCCGUUAGUGACUGGCAAAAAUAAGCGUGUAGGUGUGAGCUCGGCUCGGCUCAAUCCCGCAACCCGUGGCGCGUCAUGAUGUGGCGUGGCGAGGCGGGCGGCGGAGGAGGAGUGCACGAGGGCCUCUUCUCUUCUCAAGCUACAAUAGCAUGUAGAAGAGAAACCCUUAUAAACCACUCCAACUCUCCUUCCACUUUCGGGGUGAGACUAAACUUUUCACCACACCUAGUGCCAUAUAACCCACAUGGGCCCUUAGAGAUUUUUCAGAAAUUGCUAUAUGGGCCUAGAGCCCAUCUCAAAUUUCAGCAAAAUUUGCUUCCAUCAUCUUCUUUAUAGAUCUGUUCUUUCUUUCUCUUGGUACAAAACUGACCGUUCAUCUCUGUUCGUGCCGCUGUGCAGUCGACCCACCCAGCUGGUGCACGCCGGAGGCGGUUUGCCAGGACCCGGUUACGCCGGGAAACAGGGAAACGUGCAAAAGCAUCUGCAAAAGUUUUGGCUACAACCCGGAACAAGCCUACUGCAAUCCCGAUCCCACUCCGACGUGCAGCUGCAUCUAUUAAGCGCAAGAAAUAACAAUGUCACUGGAGUGGCAGAUGAUGGAUGACACAGCUAGCAAACUCAUUUUUAUGUGUAUCUUGUCUCAUGUAAAAAUCGGAACAGAUCAUGGUCCAGGCCUGACCGUCAAUAAAGAUUAGAAAAGUUUCUUAAAUAGGCGUGUUGCAGAAUUAAUAAGUUAACAUCUGGUAAACACAAGGGAACGAAAUGUCUUAACUAAAGACUUGAUAUUUACUCCUUGAUCCAGCGGACAAAAAAUAUAAAGGCAACGAACACCCCUUCACGUCAUAGCCCAACGGGAUAGCUAUCACUACAGGAAAAAAAUUAUAAGCCGAGUGCCCAAAACACUAGGCUCAUGCCGUUUUACGCUUGGUUUAUAUAUAAGCCGAGUGUUUUUCACGGCUUACAGUACACGGCUUUUUAAGAAGCAUCUUGCGUUCAUGCGCGAAAUACUUGACCACGGCAUUGACGCGAGCCUCGUAAGGCAUGUCUUGGACAAUCUUCUUGGCAAUCUCCUCCACGACCUCAUUAGCUUCAUCCUCCAUACCCUCAACGCAAGUAAAGAAGUCCUACCAAAGUGCAUAGAUUCGCAUAAGACAAUUAUCAAUGCAAUGAUUUGGAAUAUUGGCAAAGAAAUAACUAAGAAAAUUGACAAAGAAUUUUAUCCAAAAAUCGUUGACCACCCGCUCAGCAGCACUGCGGUACUCCCUGUCCCAAUUGUCUUUCGUAUCUGGAGCGCGUUUCCAGUGCUCCCAAGACCAAGCUGGCUCCUCCUCACCGUCUCCUAUGGGAAGUAGGCCGGGGUAAUAAUGCCUACAAAGACAUCCAAUAAUGGUGCUUGGCUGUCGUGGCGGGAUUGUGCCUUCUGGAAUAACCACCAAGGCCCUGCACAAUGGAAAGGCAAGUAAGUUAGUAUCUGCAAAAAACUUGAAUGUAAAGACAUAGUUAAGAGUCCACAGAAGCACUUACCUCACACCAACAGGUUUAACAAUGAUCCCCUUAUGUGGAUAUGGUCGCGAAGGGAGCGUGGACACCCCACGCAACCAGAUUUUGGUCUCCUGAAGAACCGGCCAUUCCAUGUCCUUUGCCGAUUCCUCCACCUCAUACUCUCCCUCCUCCAACUCCUCCUCCUGCACAUGUUAGUCGAUCCAGAAAGUUUACUUAAUAUCCUGGAAGACAGAGAUCCUCACCUCACGUCGGUGCUACGUGCUAUGUGGGCUGAGGAUAAUUGGCCAUGAGCAAUUUAGUUGGAGGUGUCCCUGGGAGUCUUCUUCCUCCAAACUGACGAAGUUGACAAGAACAUCGAGUACCU